rnacentral:lncRNA from 1 species
UGGAAUAUAAAUUUCAUAAAAGAAAAUUAAAUAUAUUGCAUCAAAGAAAAAUUAAAAGAUUGCAUAAUUUGAAGAACGGAAAUUAAUUACAACAGAAAUUACAACUUUAGCAUAAAUAAAACUCUCUAUUAAAAUAAAACUAAAAACCCCAAAAUACAUACUCUCAAAAUAAAACUCUUAAUAAAACAAACAAAAAAAAAAACAAACAAACAAACAACGUGCUCUGUUUGAAAACAGAGCACGAACUCCUCUUACUUUUCCCCAAAACAGAGCUCCACCUCCCCCCCUUUGGCGUGAGCUCCUCUACCUUUAUAUUGAUCUCUCCCUUCUUCUUCAAGCCGGCAAUCAAUCCAUGGGGAAAGGGCUGAAUCACAGGCUGUUGGGAUUCCGGAAUGGAGCUGAUCACGGCCGCGGUGGAGGCUGGGAUCACGGGGAGAAGGAGAGGGCGGACGCUGAGGAUGCCUCGAAUCCGGAAGGGAGAAGCGGGGAUUUCUCGGAGGAAGGCGUGGAAGCUGGAUGCGGGGCGCUUGACAGCGGGAUUGCUUGGAUGCGGAAGAUGAAUCUCGAAUUUGGAAGAGCUUGGAUCACGGGAGGAAGAUGAAUACGGCCGGGAUCUUGGGCUGCUUCACAGGCUGCUGGCAGUGACGCGGACGAACGGAAGAAGAGAGGAUGCUGAAAAUCCCUGCUAAUCUGCUGCUGUGGCCGGAAGAAGAGGAGAUGGGAGGCUGAGACGGCGGCUUGAUCAUAGCACGGGAUCACGGAGAAGGGAGUCGUCCGGGCUCUUUGCUGGGAGGAGGCGUGGAUCACGGGAUCGCUGGGCGGAUUGCGGAGGAGGGAGUCGAUGAUCCAUGGAGCUCGGAUGCGGCGUCGGAGGCUGGGAUUCCGGGAGGACGUGGAUCCGUGGGUGCAGAGGUGGGAUGAGAAGCGACUUGCUGAUUUGGGAGGCUUGGAAGAGGGGCUGGCUGGCUGCUGGAUCGACGGGAGGAAGAAGAACUUGACGCGUGAUCGCUGGGGAUCUUCAUUUGCUUGAAAUCCGGAAUGGCAGCUGGUCUGGAAUGGAGCUACG